rnacentral:rRNA from 1 species
GAUGAACGCUGGCGGCGUGCCUAAUACAUGCAAGUCGAGCGAACAGACGAGGAGCUUGCUCCUCUGACGUUAGCGGCGGACGGGUGAGUAACACGUGGAUAACCUACCUAUAAGACUGGGAUAACUUCGGGAAACCGGCGCUAAUACCGGAUAAUAUAUUGAACCGCAUGGUUCAAUAGUGAAAGACGGUUUUGCUGUCACUUCUAGCUGGUUCCGCGCCGCAUUAGCUAGUUGGUAAGGUAACGGCUUACCAAGGCAACGAUGCGUAGCCGACCUGAGAGGGUGAUCGGCCACACUGGAACUGAGACACGGACCAGACGACUACGAGAGGCAGCAGUAGGGAAUGGUCCGCAAUGGGCGAAAGCCUGACGGAGCAACGCCGAGUGAGUGAUGAAGGUCUUCGGAUCGGAAAAAUCUGUUAUUAGGGAAGAACAAAUGUGUAAGGAACUAUGCAGGUCGUGACGGUACCGAAUCAGAAAGCCACGGCUAACUACGUG